rnacentral:lncRNA from 1 species
UGUGAUUAUUCUGAGAACUCUAUCGGAUAUUAUAAGUUUCUCACUCUGGCUGGAGCACAUACGGGUUCUUCUAAGGCCCACAUGACCUCCAGGAAUUUCUCUGGCCCACUGCUAAUGAAGACUCAUUUUUCUAUCUCAUGGAGUUUUCCUUUAUGUAGGCACAGUUCAGUUCUCACUCAAGGACUCCAGAGAACCUCUAUGUAAAUCUCCACAGUUCUCUCUCUGUGCAGCCCUCUUCUCUCUGUCAGUCUGCCUUGAUGAUUCUAGUCACCUUGGCCUCCAUAAACUUUGAUAUCUUGCUCUUAAAUUCAGCAAAUCAUGAUAUUCUCUCUCAGAUUGUCUCAUACCAUGCUGGAGGCUGGAAAUCACUUUCAGUAAGUAUGCUGGCACAAUAAAGGGUAUAUAUUGUUUUCUUUCUCUCAGAAAUCACAGUUUUGUGCUGCCUAUUUUUUUCAUGCAAUAAAAACAGUUUAUAUACUUGUUCUGGAUUUCUAAACGUUUACAAAAGUUGCAUAAUUCUGGUAGUCAUUAAUUCUUCAUCAGCAACAGUUGAAUUCUCAGAGACUUGUUUAACUGCCCAGAUGACAAUUAUCCUAUUGCUUUAUUCUUCAAAUCAAGUGGCAAGAAGAAAAGUUUAAGAAUUUCAGGUGGCUUGAUUGGACUCUUCUUCAUGGGCCCUGAGUCAAGGACCUUCUCUUCCAGUGAAUUUAAGGGUUUUGUGGAACACUAGUCUUUCUUUAUGAACUCUGUCCUCUUUUCUCAUACGAUUUAUCUUUUCCAUAUAUGGAUGGAAUAAAACUGCAGAAAAUAUAAUGAAAUGGAAAACCAUAUAUUUUUUAAAAUAGAAAUUUUUGAGUAUUGACGUUCAAGGUUUUAAUUCUAGAUUAAAAAAUACAUUUUAUUUACACACUCAUCAGUUAAUGGGCGCUUGAAUUAUUUUCACUUUUGGUUUAUUAUGAAUAAUGCUACUAUGAACAUUAAUGUAGAAGUAUUUGUGUGAACAAAUAGAACAGACAUGGUCAGUUCUCUUGGGUAUAUUCCUACAAGUAGAAUUUCUGGGUCAUAUGGCAGCUCUAUGUUUGAUUUUAUGCAGAAUUUCUAAACUGUUUUUCAAAGAAACUGUUUUACAUUCUGAGAAGCAAUGUAUGAGAGUUCUAAUUCUUUUACAUCCUCAACAACACUUGUUAUUAUCUGUCUUUUUUAUUAUAGUUAUUCUGGUAUUUGUGAAGUUUCAUCUCAUUAUGAUUGUGAUUUGCAUUUCCCUAAUGGCUAAUAACAGUCAGCAUACUUUCGUGUGCCUGUUGGCCAUUUGUAUAUCUUCCUUGGCGUAAAGUCUUUCAAAUUACUUGCUCAUUUUUUAAUUAUUUGUCUUUUGAUUUUUUGGUUGUAACAGUUCCGUAUAUAUUAUGCAUAAGUCCUUAUCAGAUACACAAUGUGAAAAUAUUUUAGUCCUGCUAUACUUGGUUUUCCCCUUUAUAAGUGGUGUAUUUUGUAGAUCAAAAGCCUUUAAUUUUAAUGAAGUCCAAUUUAACAAUAUUUUUCUUGUGUUGCUUGUGUUUUAAGUGUCAUAUUGUUUGUUAAGUGUCAUAGGUUUUUUAAUAUGAAUGAGUGUGGGAUUUUCUCCAAAGAUUUUUCUACAACCAUUGUCAUGAUUAUCCUUUUUGAUCCUUUAUUUUAUUAAUAUAAAUAUUUUAUUAAUUGAUUCUCCAUUGUUGAAGCAUAUUUGUGUAUCUGGGAUAAAUCCUACUUGGUCAUGGUGUGUAAUCCUAUUUAAAGUUACUGGGUUUAGUUUGCUAGUAUUUGAUUGAGGGUUUUUUUUGUUUGCUUUGUAUUUAUAAGGAAUAUCAGACAGUUUUUUUCAACAUUUAUUUUAGAUUCAUGGGGCAUAUGUGCUGCUUUGUUACUUGGAUAUAUUGUCUGAUGUUAAGGUUUGGGGUAUAAGUGAUCCCAUUUACCAAGGUACUACACAUAGUACACAAAAGCAGGUUUUUCAACCCUUGCCUCUACUCCUCCUUCACUCCACCUGCUAGCUGUACCCAGUGUCUAUUUUUGCCAUCUUUACGUUUAUGAGUACCUAAUAUUUAGCUCCAAUUUAUAAUUGAGAAAAGACUGUAUUUGGUUUUCUGUUACUGCAUUAAUCUGCUUAGGAUAAUGGCCUCCAGCUACAUCUGUGUUGCUGCAAAGGACAUGAUUUUGUUAUUUUUAUGGCUGUGUAGUGUUCCAUCAUGUAUAUGUGCCAUGUUUUCUUUAUCCAUUCCACCAUUAGUGGGCACCUAGGUUGAUUUCAUGGCUGCUAUUGUGAAUAGGACUGCGAGGAACAUAUGAGAGCCUAUGUAUUAUUGCUAAAACAAUUUGUUUUCUUUUGGAUACAUAACCAGUAAUGGGAUUGCUGGGUCAAAUCGUAAUUCCCUUUUAAAGUCUUUAAAAAAUCUCCAAACUACUUUCCACAGUGGCUGAACUAAUUUAGAUUUCCACUGAAAGUGUGCAAGCAUUCCCUUUUCUCCAUAGCCUUGCCAGCAUCUGUUAUUUUUUGAUGUUUUAAUAAUACCCAUUCUGACUGAUGUGAGAUGGAACCUCAUUGUAGUGAUUUGCAUUUCUCUGAUGAUUAGUGAUGAGAAUUUUUUAUAUGUUUGUAAACCACUUUUAUGUCUUCUUCUGAGAGGUGUCUAUUCAUGUCUUUUGUUCAUUUGUAUUCAUUGUUUUAUGCUUAUUAAUUGGUUUAAUUUUCUUAUAGAUUUGGGGUAUUGGGACCUUUGUUGGAAGUGUAGUUUGUGAGUAUUUUAUCUCAUUCUGUAGGUUGCCUGUUUUCUCUGUUGAUAAUUUCUUUUACUGUGCAGAGCUCUUUAAUUUAAUUAGAUCCCACUUGUCAAUUUUUGUUUUGGUUGCAAUUGCUUUUGAGGACUUAGUCAUAAAUUAUUUCCCAAGGCCAAUGUCCAGAAUGGUGUUUCCUAGGAUUCUUGUAGUUUGAGGUCUUAUGUUUAAAUCUUUAAUCCAACCUCAGUUAAUUUUUUUAUAUGGUGAAAGGUGGGGUUGAGUUUCAUUCUUCUACAUAUCGCUACCCAACUAGCCCAGCACCAUUUAUUGAAUAGGGAGUAGUCUUUUCCCUGUUGGUUAUUUUUCUUAACUUUGUUAAAGAUCAGAUAUCUGUAGGUGUGCAGCUUUAUUUCUGGGUUCUCUGUUCCGUUCCAUUGGUCUAUGUGUUUUUGUACCAAUACCAUGCUGUUCUGGCACCAGCACCAUGCUAUUUUGGUUACUGUCACCUGAUAGUAUAUUUUGAAGUCAGCAAACAUGAUUCCUCUGGCUUUGUUCUUUGUGAUUAAGAUUACUUUGGCUAUUUUGGCUGUUUGGAGUUUCAUAUGAAUUAUUAGUUUUUUUCUGGUUUUAUAGAAGAAAAAUAAACGACAUGGUAGUUUGGAACUUCCUAGAGACUUAUUGAACGGCUCUGACCAAAAUACUAAUAGUGAUAUGGACAAUAAAGUCCAGGCUGAAGUGGUCUCAGAUGGAGAUGAGGAACUUGUUGGGAACUGAAGCAAAGGUGACUCUUGUUAUACUUUAGCAAAGAGACUGGCAGCAUUUUUCCCCUGCCCUAAAGAUUUGUGGAACUUUGAACUUGAGAGAGAUGAUUUAGGGCAUCUGGUGCAAUAAAUUUCUAAGGAGCAAAGCAUUCAAGAAGUGACUUGGGUACUGUUAAAAACAUUCAGUUUUAUUUAUUCAGAAAGGUAGGAUUUGGAGUUGAAAUUUAUGUUUAAAAGGGAAGCAGAUCAUAAAAGUUUGGUAAAUUUGUAGCCUGAUGAUGUGAUAGAAAAGAAAAACCCAUUUUCUGAGGAGAAAUUCAAGCUGGCUGUAGAAAUUUGCAUAAGUAAUAAGGAGCCAAAUGUUAAUCAUGAAGACAAUGGGGAAAAUGUCUCCAGGGCAUGUCAGAGGUCUUUAUGGCAGCCCCUCCCAUCACAGGCCCAGAGGCCUAGGAGGAAAAAAUGGUUUCAUAGGUUGGGUCCAGGGCCUUGCUGCUUUGAACACUCUCCAAACUUGCUCCCCUGCAUCCCAGCCAUGGCUAAGAGGAGCCAGUGUAUGUAGAUCAGGUCAUUGCUUCAGAGGGUGCAAGUCUCAAGCCUUGGCAGCUUACAUGUGGCUUUGGGCCUCCAGGUACACAGAAAUCAAGAAUUGAGGUUUGAGAACCUCCACAUAGAUUUCAGAGGAUUUGUGGAAAUGUCUGGAUGUCCAGGCAGAGGUGUGCUGCAGGGGCAGAGUCCUCAUGGAAAACCUCAUGUUAGCGCAGAGUGGAAGGGAAAUGUGGAGUCAAGCACCCUCUGGGGCACUGCCUGGUGGAGCUGUGAGAAGAGGGCCACCAUCAUCUGGACUCCAAAAUGGUAGAUCCACUGACAACGUGCACCAUGCACCUGGAAAAACUGCAGACACUCAAUGCCAGCUCAUGAAAGCAGCCAGAAGGGGAGCUGUACCCUGUAAAGACACAGGGGCAGAGCUGCCUAAGGUCAUGGGCGCCUACCUCUUGCAUCAGUGAGACCUCGAUGUGAGACAUGGAGAAAAAAGGAUCAUUUUGGAGCUUUAAGAUUUGACUGCUCUGCUGGAUUUUGGAUUUCUAUGGGGCCUGUAGCCCCUUCAUUUUGCCAAUUUUUCCCAUCUGGAAUAGCUGUAUUUACACAAUGCCUGUAUCUCCAUUGUAUCUAGGAAGUAACUAACUUGCUUUUGAUUUUACAGGCUCAUAGGCAGAAGGGACUUGCCUUGUCUUAGAUGAGACUUUGGACUGUGGACUUUUGAGUUAAUGCUGAAAUGAGUUAAGAUUUUGGAGGACUGUUGGGAAAGCAUGAUUGGUUUUGAAAUGUGAGGAUGAGAUUUGGGAGGGGCCACGGGUGGAAUAUUAUUUGCUGUGUCCCCACUCAAAUCUCAUCCAGAAUUUUAGCUCUCACAAUCCCCAUGUGUUGUGGGAGGGGCCCAGUGGGAAGUAAUUGAAUCUUAGAAGUGGGUCUUUCCCAUGCUGUUCUUGUGAUAGUAAAUAAGUCUCAUGACUCAUGAGAUCUGAUGGUUUGAUAAAGGGGAGUUCCCCUGCACACACUCUUUCUUGCCUGCUGCCAUGUAAGACGUGUUUGCUUCCCCUUUGCUUUCCACCAUGAUUGUGAGGCCUCCCCAGCCAUGUGGAUUUGUGAGUCAAUUAAAACUUUCCUUUAUAAAUUACCCAAUCCCAAGUAUGUCUUUAUUAGCAGCCUGAGAACAGACUAAUACAACAGGAUUGUGGGAAGUUCUCCAGGCAUUCAGAGCACCCACCUUCCUGAAUUAGGAGUAGGGAAACCAACUGCACCAAGAUCUUUGCACAGAAGAGGUGGGGUGAUUCAGGCUGCUGAACCAGGCAAGCAGAAGCUUUGAAUGCCUGGAGAUCUACCUGAGCAUGUAGCAGCAAAGGCCCCUGCACCAAGACCUCUGGCCAGGAAGGGUGGGGCAUAUCAAGCUGCUGAUCCAGGCAAGUUGGUGCUCUGAAUGUCUGGAGGUCUGCCUGAGUGUGGAGUAGAGAGGGCCAUUCUGUAUCAUGAUCUACGUCCAGGAAGGUUGGGUGGCUCAGGCUGCUGAACCAGAAGAACAGGUGCUUUAACUGCCUGGAGAUCUGCCCAGGCAUAAAGCAGAGAAGGCCUCCCUGCACCGUAGCUCUGAACAGAAAGAAUAGUGGUGAGUCAGGCUGCUGAUUCAAGUGAGUAAAUGUCUGGAGGCCUGCCUGGUUAUGGAGCAGAGAAAGCCCCACUGCACCAGGAUCUCUGUACAGGAAGGGUGGAGCAGGUUAGGCUCUGAACCCAGUGAACAGAUGCUCCUAAUGCCUGGAGAUCUGCCUUGGCAUAAAGUGUAGGGGGCUGCUCUGCACCACAAUCUAUGUUCAUGAAGAGUUGAGUGGCUAAGGCUGCUAGUCCAGGAAAGCAGCUGCGCCAAAUGCCUGAAUUUUUGCCUGGGGUUUGAGCAGAGGACCUCACUGCACUAUUAUCUUGGUAGGGCAGAUGGAGACACCUAGAAAUGGCACACACAGACCAAUUCCAGGUCACUAGGCUGGCCUUGGCUGCAAAUCUCACCACCCAGAAGAAACUGCAGCUGUAGCAGCACUCCUCCUGCCCCAGGCUUGUGACAAGGGAAAGCACAAUUUCAGUGUCCACUCUGGAUGUGCUUUCCAUAGCUCUGGUGGUGGAGGCCCUUAUCCCACUCUAGAGCAGGCCCCCCCCCCCAAUCUCUGGUUCAAGAAUAAAAUUCCUGAGUGGUCAUGCUGCCAAGUUGCCAAAGAAUGCCUGACUUUGUAUGCCUGGAUUAAAAAUGUUAUCCUGUUCUUGGUCCCAGGUCUGGGAAAAUGUCUGCAGCUUUUCCCAGUGUCUUUCCCUCACAACAUCUCCAAGCCUCUCCCCAUGCUGGCUCUAGGGCUUGGGAGAAAGACAGUGCUGUUUCUCGACCUGGGUCGCUUGAGUUCCCAAUGGAAAAAUGAGUCACAUAGGGAGGCUCUCUGCCUCUCUCGUAUCCUCCUGGAGCUUCAAUCACUUUUACCAGGCAGAUACCAUCAUGGAGACUGUCUGUCAGUGUUCUUUCUCCUCCACAGGAUCUGGAGUGCCCUUCACAAUUCUGAUGAUUUCCCAUUUUCUUCUUGAAUUAAAGCUCACAGAGUUGAUCUUUAUGCACUACUUACUACUUCCAAGUGGCUGAGGCAUCAUAAAAGCCUCUAAUCUGCCACCUUGGGAAAAACAAAUAGGGAUUCUUAAUUUGUUUUACUUGUGACGUAUUUGUCUGGUUUUACUAGUCUUAUAAAAAGAGUUGGAAAAUAAUCCCUCCUUUUCUAUUUUUUGAGUGUGUUUGUGAAGAAUUAGUGUAAACUCUUCUAAACAUUUGGUAGAAUGUAUCAGUAAAGCCAUCUAUUCUAGGGAUUAUGUGUGUAUUGGUGGAGGGAAGUUUUAUAUUGCCUACUUUAUUUCUUCCUUCAUGUAUUUUGGGAUUCUCUUGAUAGGGGCAUAUGUGCUUACUGUUAUGUUUUCUUGAUGUAUUAAUCCUUUCUAUCAUUGUAAAAUGCUCUUUCUCGCUAAUCACAAUUUAUCUCUUGAAGUUUGUUUUGUGUGUUAUUAUGACCAGGUCUCUUUUGAUUACUGUUUGAAUGAUUUAUCUUAUUCAGUCAUUUGUAUUCAAACUGUUUGUGUCUUUGAAUAUAAAGUGUGCCUGCUGAAUAAAACAGAUAGUUGGAUUAUGUUUUUUCUAAACCCAUCUGCAAACUCUAUUUUAAAUGGAGUUUUUAAUCUAUAUACAUUUAAUGUAAUUACUGAUACAUAGAAUUUAUGUUUGCCAGUUUACCAGUUGUUUUCUAU